UGGGGCGUAUGAAGCAAGGUGAUGGUAGCAGAGGGCUUCAGCAGUGAUCUCUGUGAGCAGAGCCCCACAGUGCGCCAUGUCAGAGCACAGCAGCUCCAGCUGCUCCAACAGGGCCCCACUGCUGCCAGAGAACAACUGCUGCACAGCUGGGAGAGAGGGGGGAGCAACGAGAGAGCAGCGGCCCUGAGAGCACCGAGCUCAGGGCAGGAGGUGGGCAGGAGGCACUCCAGCAGCUCCAUGCAGCCCAGGACAGGCCCACGGAGGAGCAGGCCGUCCCCUGCAGCCCAUGGGCACCAGGUCCGUGAUGGUAGUUGUUGCGCGAUCGCCUUGUCCUCAUCUCAACCCAUGAGAUUUUUUUGCAACAAAUUUUGUCCCUAUGCCCUUCUGAGGAGGAAGAGUGAGAGCAGCGUGGGAUGCUGAGCUGCCUACUGGUGUGAAACAACCACAGCCAUAAAGCUGUGCCCCCCGUAUGCAGCUGGUGUAUACAGAUGCAAGCAGAAGGGGAAAGAAGAAAAGAGUAGUUGUUUGUUCUCCUUCACAGCUGUGCAGAACAGAUUCUUCAGCACCUCCGAAGAGCCAGUCUUCAGGACACAGAGGCUGAAUCAUAUCCUGCACUUCCAACAACCGUUAUUAAUCACAAAAAUAUCUUCCCAAAGAAAUACUGCAAAAUCCUUCACUGAAAUCUCAUUGUUGGCUGUUGGUUUCUCCACUGGCAAAUACUCAGAUGAAGCACUGAGAAAUGAAAAGGAGGGAGUUCAUGCACCUGCCUCGUUCUAUAUCCAUCCAGCACGGCACUCUGUGCCUGCACUCAGAGCCAAAUCCACCCAUUG
ensembl:lncRNA